UCGGGAAUUUUGGGCAAUGGGGGAAACCCUGACCCAGCAACGCCGCGUGAAGGAUGAAGUAUUUCGGUAUGUAAACUUCGAAAGAAUAGGAAGAAUAAAUGACGGUACUAUUUAUAAGGUCCGGCUAACUACGUGCCAGCAGCCGCGGUAAUACGUAGGGACCAAGCGUUGUUCGGAUUUACUGGGCGUAAAGGGCGCGUAGGCGGGAGUAUAAGUCAGAUGUGAAAUACCUGGGCUCAACCUGGGAACUGCAUUUGAUACUGUACUGUCUAGAGUGGAGUAGAGGGCAGUGGAAUUUCCGGUGUAGCGGUGAAAUGCGUAGAUAUCGGAAAGAACACCGAUAGCGAAGGCAGCUUACCAAGCUGUAACUGACACUGAGGCACGAAAGUGUGGGGAUCAAACAGGAUUAGAUACCCCAGUAGUCCCUGAGCGGGCUGGCAAGGCGCAU
rnacentral:rRNA from 1 species